GAGCGCCGUAGCAAUACGGAGCGGCAGACGGGAGAGUAACACGUGGGAACGUACCCUUUGGUUCGGAACAACCCCAGGGAAACUUGGGCUAAUACCGGAUAAGCCCUUACGGGGAAAGAUUCAUCGCCGAAGGAUCGGCCCGCGUCUGAUUAGCUAGUUGGUGGGGUAAUGGCUCACCAAGGCUACGAUCAGUAUCCGGUCUGAGAGGACGGUCGGACACACUGGAACUGAGACACGGUCCAGACUCCUACGGGAGGCAGCAGUGGGGAAUUUUUGGCAAUGGGGGAAACCCUGACCAAGCAACGCCGCGUGGGUGAUGAAGUCUCUUGGGACGUAAAACCCUUUCGACGGGGAAGAAACCGCAAGGUUGACGGUACCCGUAGAAGAAGCCCCGGCUAACUCCGUG
rnacentral:rRNA from 1 species